rnacentral:rRNA from 1 species
AGAUUGAACGCUGGCGGCAUGCCUAACACAUGCAAGUCGAACGGGAGUAGCAAUACUCUAGUGGCGGACGGGUGAGGAAUACGUAGGAAUUUGCCCUUAAGUGGGGGAUAACCCGGGGAAACCCGGAUUAAUACCGCAUGACCUCGAAAGAGCAAAGUGGGGGAUCGCAAGACCUCACGCUUUGGAGAAGCCUACGUCGGAUUAGCUAGUUGGUGAGGUAAUGGCUCACCAAGGCGACGAUCCGUAACUGGUCUGAGAGGAUGAUCAGUCACACCGGAACUGAGACACCGGUCCGGACUCCGUACGGGAGGCAGCAGUGGGAAUAUGGACAAUGGGCGACAAGCCUGAUCCAGC